AGGUCAAGUGGCCCGUGGUGAAUAGGAAGCAGACAUCUACAUCAUCCGCCAACAUGUACUGUAUCGCAUGGGCCACAGUAAAUAACACUCGUUAAGUAGCAGCAUGCAGAUGGGAAGAGGAAAGGGGCCACAUCCUACCUCUGCGUGUGACAUCCCUGAAUCUAACACCAGUGCUGCAGACAACUGCAGGUGCCUGCAGAGACCCACAAAACGUGCUCUCCCUGCUUGAUCCUUCCUAUUACAGAACGGACUCUGCUCAGGUGUGGUGGAGAUUGGUAGCAUUGAGAUCACGCUCUGGUCAAGGAAUUUGAAAUCUGAUUUGAGGUGAAUCGUGCUCCAGGUAUAGCUCAAAAUCAAAUAAUUUUAGUUGUAGCAGGGAGGGGGG
rnacentral:lncRNA from 1 species